rnacentral:rRNA from 1 species
UACGUAGGGGGCAAGCGUUGUCCGGAUUUACUGGGCGUAAAGAGCGUGUAGGCGGCCAAGCAGGUCCGUUGUGAAAACUGGAGGCUUAACCUCCAGACGUCGACGGAAACCGCGUGGCUAGAGUCCGGAAGAGGGAGAGUGGAUUUCCUGGUGUAGCGGUGAAAUGACGCAGAUAUCAGGAAGAACACCAAUGGCGAAGGCAGCUCUCUGGGACGGUACUGACGCUGAGACGCGAAAGCGUGGGGAGCGAACAGG